UCAGGUAGUCUAACUGUGUGUGUGGGGUUCAGGUAGUCUAACUGUGUGUGGGGUUCAGGUAGUCUGACUGUGUAUGUGGGUUUCAGGUAGUCUGACUGUGUAUGUGGGGUUCAGGUAGUCUAACUGUGUGUGUGGGGUUCAGGUAGUCUAACUGUGUGUGUGGGGUUCAGGUAGUCUGACUGUGUGUGUGUGGGGUUCAGGUAGUCUGACUGUGUGUGCGGGGUUCAGGUAGUCUGACUAUGUGUGUGGGGUUCAGGUAGUCUGACUGUGUCUGUGAGGUUCAGGUAGUCUGACUGUAUAAGUGGGGGUUCAGGUAGUCUGACUGUGUGUGUGGGGUUCAGGUAGUCUAACUGUGUGUGUGGGGUUCAGGUAGUCUGACUGUGUGUGUGUGGUGUUCAGGUAGUCUGACUGUGUGUGUGGGGUUCAGGUAGUCUGACUGUGUCUGUGAGGUUCAGGUAGUCUGACUGUGUGUGUGGGGGGUUCAGGUAGUCUGACUGUGUAUGUGGGGUUCAGGUAGUCUGACUGUGUGUGUGGGGUUCAGGUAGUCUGACUGUGUCUGUGAGGUCCGC
ensembl:lncRNA